rnacentral:rRNA from 1 species
UACGUAGGGUGCAAGCGUUGUCCGGAAUUAUUGGGCGUAAAGAGCUCGUAGGCGGCUUGUCACGUCGGGUGUGAAAGCCCGGGGCUUAACCCCGGGCCUGCAGUGGGUACGGGCAGACUGGAGUGCGGUAGGGGAGAAUGGAAUUCCUGGUGGUAGCGGUGGAAUGCGCAGAUAUCAGGAGGAACACCGAUGGCGAAGGCAGUUCUCUGGGCCGUAACUGACGCUGAGGAGCGAAAGCGUGGGGAGCGAACAGG